AUCGAACGCUGGCGGCAGGCCUAACACAUGCAAGUCGAGCGGAGCGGCGGACGGGCGAGUAAUGCCUAGGAAUCUGCCUGGUAGUGGGGGAUAACGUCCGGAAACGGGCGCUAAUACCGCAUCCUAUCAGCUGAGCCUAGGUCGGACUAGCUAGGUGGUGGGGUGAGGGCCUACCUAGGCGACGAUCCGUAACUGGCCUGAGUGGAUGAUCAGUCACACUGGAACUUGGACACGGUCCAGAGUACUACGGGAGGGAGCAGUGGGGAAGAGUGGGCAAUGGGCGAAAGCCUGGUCCAACCAUGCCGCGUGUGUGAAGAAGGUCUUCGGAUUGUAAAGCACUUUAAGUUGGGAGGCGUUACCAACAGAAUAAGCACCGGCUAACUUCGUGCCAGCAGCCGCGGUAAUAC
rnacentral:rRNA from 1 species